rfam:Medicago truncatula strain A17 chromosome 6, whole genome shotgun sequence.
UACACGGACUUCAGUCGCAGGAGAGAUGACACCUUCUGUUUCUAAUGGCAUGGUUGCAACCAAUUUUAACAGGAGUUGUCAUCUUUCUUCGACUGAAGUCCAUAUGCAU